GCCGACUCUCCUUCGUUUGCUUACAGUUCUUCUAAAUUCAGAUAAAGGUGAAAAUGGCUGAAGUGUCGGACAGGACGCUGCAGGUUGCAGUGCUAGUUUCCUUUGCAACCGGUUUUUUUGCAGGAUGGCAAGCCAAUAGAAUUAGAAGGCAGUUCCUGGACUGGAGAAAGAAAAGGCUACAAAACAAACUUGCUGAAACGCAAAAGAAACUGGACCUGGCAUAAAUUGAAACUAAAACUAGGCCCUCGUACUUAGUUUUAAGUUUGACAACUUAAAAACCUUGUCCCCUCCCAAAGUGUUCUGGAAUUAUGUUGCCAGGUGGCAACCCUAAUUGAAAGACACAUUUUAUCAUACAAGCUUUGUGAAGAAGCUAAGAACAACUGGAAAUGAUUGGCGGUAACAUACCACCUUUAAACUCGCACAGAUUAUUCACGGAGAAUCUACAACAUGGAACAAUUCAACCUUUUUACACAGUAAUGUUUAUGAAAUAGGAAAAUGUUGGAGACAUAGACUUCACCAAAAUGCUGUUUUUAAAACUGAAAUUAUAUGUUUUGCAUAAUUAUUGAAAACCUUGAAAUAUUUUGUUGGAUUGCCUAUUGUUUCAUAAAUGAGCCUCAGAAUGAAAUUAUAUUUUAAAAAUAAUAAGUUUCUUUUUUUUUAUUUGUGUACUAUUUUUGUGAAUUGACCAUUUUUACUUAACAAUUUGUAGUUUUUAAAAUAUAUGCAUAUAUAAAUAAAUAGAUGCGUCUUUCAGGUGUGCUCACGUAUAAUAUGGAGACAGCUAUGUUGAUCCAACAUUUAAAAAUAUUUUGCUUGAAGUUACACGUACUGUAAAUGUAGGAGAUGAUUUCACAGCAUCGACUAAUUGAAUGACGUGUUAAAAGCUUUUUCUUGGGGAAACCUGGGCUAAAUGUGUUAAAAUUGCAUGGCAAUAUACAUAAUGUGACACAUGAUUUGCUGAGCUCUUAAUGCUAUAACUAUCUGUUUUGAUGAAAUUAUGCAUGCAGUUAUUGAUACAAUGUGCAUUUCUGUGAUACUGACAUCAGUACUGUUUACUGAAACACAUUUUAUGUAGGUGCUUUGCUCAAAGUUGAUUAUAUAAAAUAUAUGUUAAAUAGGUUAGAUCAAAGUGUUUUUAUAGGAAUAAGCCCCAUCUAGUGAUAUGACCGUUUCCCUUUAUUUUGCUGGCAUUGUAUGUACAAGAUGGUUCUAUCACUUUUGUAAGGUUAUAGUAGAAAAGAAAAUAUAUUUGUACACUUCUUA